GAUGAACGCUGGCGGCGUGCCUAAUACAUGCAAGUCGAGCGAAGCGGGGACGGGUGAGUAACACGUGGAUAACCUCCUAUAAGACUGGGAUAACUUUGGGAAACCGGAGCUAAACCGGAUACUUAAAAUUGGUCCUGCGUUGCAUUAGCUAGUUGGUAGGGUAACGGCUUACCAAGGCAACGAUGCAUAGCCGACCUGAGAGGGUGAUCGGCCACACUGGGACUGAGACACGGUCCAGACUCCUACGGGAGGCAGCAGUGGGGAAUCUUCAGCAAUGGGCGAAAGCCUGACGGAGCAACGCCGCGUGAGUGAGGAAGGUCUUCGGAUCGUAAAACUCUGUUAGCAGGGAGGCGGUACCCACACAGAAAGCAACGGCUAACUCCGUGCCAGCAGCCGCGGUAAUUC
rnacentral:rRNA from 1 species